GACGAACGCUGGCGGCGUGCUUAACACAUGCAAGUCGAACGGAAAGGCCCUGCUUGCCGGGUACUCGAGUGGCGAACGGGUGAGUAACACGUGGGUGAUCUGCCCUGCACUUCGGGAUAAGCCUGGGAAACUGGGUCUAAUACCGGAUAGGAGCCAUUUUUAGUGUGAUGGUUGGAAAGUUUUUUCGGUGUAGGAUGAGCUCGCGGCCUAUCAGCUUGUUGGUGGGGUAAUGGCCUACCAAGGCGGCGACGGGUAGCCGGCCUGAGAGGGUGGACGGCCACAUUGGGACUGAGAUACGGCCCAGACUCCUACGGGAGGCAGCAGUGGGGAAUAUUGCACAAGGGGCGCAAGCCUGAUGCAGCGACGCCGCGUGGGGGAUGACGGCCUUCGGGUUGUAAACGCCUUUCGCUAGGGACGAAGCUUUUUGUGACGGUACCUAGAUAAGAAGCACUGGCUAACUACGUG
rnacentral:rRNA from 1 species